ACGUUUUCAACAAACGUAUCGUCUUCAUAUUAAAGACAAGCUUCUUAUCUCUCUCUUUCUGAAAAUGUUCCCAAUCCCCACCAAUGUUAUAUCACUUUGUCAUGGAAGAUGAAAAGAAACUCAGCAACAACCAACAAGAUCUGUUAUACAAAAUCAUAAACGGGUAACACCUCCUCAGAUCGGAAUGUUUAUUAUCUAAAAUUGUGGGAUUUCUACUUGAAAAAGAUUCACAAUUUCUCAGCAAAUAUUACAUUUUAUCAUCUCCAACCAAAAUCCAAUUCGAGCGAUAUAUCAAGUAACAAGAUGACUUGAAAUUUGAUGGUACGAAUAGUGAGAUUGUGGCACGUUCAGACCGCGAUAAACCAGACAACACCGUCUCCCUUGAAUUAAUUAUUCAAGACGAAAAGCUUAUGCUCCUUGGCAUUUGUAUUGAUAUUCCAAUAAUCAAAUUUGCUUGAUACAUUGCUGCAACUUUAGUUCUUAUUUUCAAGAAGGACAAAUUUGGAUUGUUGCGAAUGUGGUGAAUCUGCAAGCUGAAAAAGAAUGGUCAUAUUUGGGGUGCAAGAGAUGCUCGAAGAAGGUUGAUAAAAUUGGAAGUAAAUUUCGCUGCAACAAAUGUGAUCGCCUUGAUAGUUCCGCCACUCAUAGCUUCAAGUGCAAGUAAUGGAUCGCAGUGGCUUUAUAUCUUUGUUGCUUUAGGAUCGUGAAGCAACAAGCCUCAUUGGGAAGUCUGUUAAUGAGUUAAAUGAAAGUUCAAUAGAGACUUCUGGUGCUGUUGAGGAGUAUUCUUAUCCAGUGGAGUUGUAUGACAUUCUUGACAAAAAAGUCAUGUUUAAAAGUGACUAUUAAGAGCUCCAACAUUAAAGUGCAUGCGGAAGUUUAUAAUGUUGUUAAAAUCGGCGAUGACGAUAACCUUAUACAGCAAUAUAGUCAUUCUCCACAAGCAGAUACAUUCACUACCCUGAUUUUAAGUGUGAAUAACAUAUGAUGCAGACACAACUUUCAAGGAUUAAAUGGCUGAUAAUGAGAUGACUUCUCCUGCAAAGACCCCUGCCAAAAGAAGUAGAGAAGAGGAUGGAUCAUUUAUAGUAGAGGUUGUGAUGAUCUUGCACAAUUUUCAAGUAACAAGGUUAAAAGAGUGAUUAACAACAACAACAACAACCCAAUAAAAUUUCACUAAUGGUGUCUGGGGAGGAUAGUGUGUACGCAGACCUUACCCUGACCUCGAUGGAAUAGAGAGCCUGUUUCCGAAAGACCCUCGGCAACUCCCACGAUUAAACAGGAGAAAAAUCCAUGAAUGACUGCAUUUGCUUCAUUUUAAAUGACAUUGUUUGUAUACUUGCAUUAACAAGUACUUUGGUAUAACUUGAAGUACUUUCAUUUGUAUUUUAAUUUGGUUUCUACCAUUUAGAAUCAUGUUUUAAUAUAUGAAA